GGGAUGUGCUUUUAAAGGGGGGCGUGUCUCGUCCCUUCUAUGGGUGGAAAUAGGUCUGGUUCAGCUUGGGAUCUGGCAUUGUUAGAGCCAGGGAGAGGAGGGCCGCCCAGGGCCCUUUAAGUAUCUCCCCUCCUACCACGCUAAGCUCCCCCCACGGCGUCUGAUCCCGCCCCGGGGUCCCUGGCAGGUCCCGGAUUGGUGGGGAGGGUUGGUCCCUUUGAAGUGUGGCUGCUGAUCUGGGCUAUUUGACGUGUUGAUAGGGGAAGUGGAAGGUUUUUGUCUUACCGAGGCCGGUGCUGCUGCUGCCGCCACCGCCCUGCUCAGCUCGGCAGCACUGCGGAGCUCGCCCCGCAACCCCCGGAGCUCGCCUCCCUCCCUUUCCCCUCCCCCCUCACCCUACCCCACCCCGCCCGGCUCUCUCCCCCUGCAGCCUCCUCCAAAUGAGCGGUUCGCCCGCUGGAUCUAACCCAAGGACAUCGCAGAGCAGCGGAGCGGAGAGCGCACCGUCCCCUGCAGCAGCAGCAGCCUGUCCGGCACUCUCUCACCUGCCCCCGGCGGACCCCCUGCGCCAGGCGAACCGGCUCCCCAUCAGGGUCCUGAAGAUGCUCAGCGCCCACACCGGCCACCUCCUGCACCCGGAAUACCUGCAGCCUCUCUCCUCCACGCCCGUCAGCCCCAUCGAGCUGGACGCUAAGAAGAGCCCGCUGGCGCUCCUGGCACAAACCUGCUCCCAGAUCGGCAAGCCGGACCCGCCGCCUUCCUCCAAGCUCAACGCGGUGACCGCCAACGGGCUGCCCGGCGCGGACAAGGAGUCGGGCGCCCGCUCCACCUCCUCCGCCCUCAAGCAGCUGGGCGGCGGCGGCGACUCCCCGGCCGAGGACAAGUCCAGCUUCAAGCCCUACUCCAAAGCCGGCGGGGACCCCCGCAAGGAGGGCGGCUCGGCGGGCGCGGGCCCCGGCGCGGACAAGGCAGGGUUCCGGGUGCCCAGCGCCACCUGCCCGCCCUUCCCGCCGCAUGCGGCCGCCGCCUCCUCCCCGGGCGGGUCCCGGGGCAGCUCCCCGCAGCACGGAGACUGCAAGGGCCAGGAGGACAAGAAGGAGCCCGAGGCGGCGGCCAAGCCCAGCCCGGAAGCGGCGCCGGGGCCCGGGGGCAGCGGCUUGAGCCGGCCCGGCGGGGGCGCAGGGAGCGCAGACACCGGGGCGCACGGCGAGGCCGCCUCGGGGCGCAAAUCGGAGCCUCCGGCCCUGGCGCCCGCCGGCCACGUGGCCCCGGUGUCCCCCUACAAGCCGGGCCACUCCGUCUUCCCCCUGCCCCCUUCCAGCAUCGGCUACCACGGGUCCAUCGUUGGGGCUUACGCCGGCUACCCGUCCCAGUUCGUGCCCGGCCUGGAUCCUACUAAAGCCGGCCUGGUGAGCAGCCAGCUGCCGGGGACCUUGGGCUUGCCCGGCAAGCCGCCCAGCUCCAGCCCGCUGACCGGGGCCUCCCCGCCCUCCUUCAUGCAGGGAUUAUGCCGAGACCCCUAUUGCUUGAGCUACCACAGCGCCUCGCACCUGGGCACCAGCAACUGCUCCAGCUGCGUGCACGACCCUGGCAGCCUGAAAAGCGGAUACCCCCUGGUGUACCCCACACACCCCCUGCACUCCGUCCACACCACCCUGUCCUCCAGCGCCACCCCGAGCCUGCCCAGCCACCCCCUCUACACCUACGGCUUCAUGCUCCAGAACGACCCCUUACCCCACAUAUGCAACUGGGUGUCUGCCAGUGGACCCUGCGACAAGAGGUUUGCCACCUCGGAGGAACUGCUCACCCACCUACGGACCCACACGGCUCUGCCCGGGGCGGAGAAACUCUUGGCUGGCUACCCUACCUCUGGUCUUGGCUCCGCGGCAUCCUGCCACCUCCACCUCCCACCCACUGCCCCAGGGAGCCCCAACACUUUACCGGGAUCCCUGUCUUUGAGGAGCCCACACACUUUGGGACUAAACAGGUACCACCCUUAUGGCAAGAGCCACUUGCCCACAGCCGGUGCUCUGCCAGUGCCCUCCUUGCCAGCAGCUGGACCCUACUACUCUCCAUACGCGCUGUAUGGCCAAAGACUAACUUCAGCUUCCGCGCUUGGAUAUCAGUAACUAAAGCACCCCCUCCUCAUCCUCCCUCGCUCUCCUUCCCUUCCUUGGACUGUGUAUUUAUUUACUGUAUGUUAGCUUAAAGCUGGGAAUAUUAAGUGCAUUAAUAUACCAAUGAAUCAAUGGUAGGCAAAAAGUCUGUGUCUAAAAAAAAAUCCUUUCCUUUGCAGGUGUGGGGCUUUUCUUUUUCCUUUAUUUUCCCUUUUCUUUCUUCUUUUGAAAUUCUAUUUUAUUGUGUCCCCUCCCCAGGAAGUCCUUGCAUGGCCUCUUUUAACAAAUACAUUUUCCCCUCCCUCGUUUUAUCAUUUUGAAAUUCCGUUUCUCUUUGUUUGUACAGUUAACAGAGAUGUAAUUAUUUUUUUUUGUAAUGUAUUUUGGGGAAGGGGCAAUGGUAGUGGGGAGGGAGGAAGGGCAGCUGGGAGAACGUCUAUGGCAGUGCUACCCCAGAGCUCUCUUCAUCCCAAAAUGUGGCACUGUCUGCAAAAGCCAAGGAGACCUACUGAUCAGGACAGUGGGUGGACGAUCCCUGUUUCUUUCUAUGGUUUGGAAAAGGACAUAGGAAGUGCCAUACUGAUUCAGACCAGUGGUCCUCCAUCUAGUCCGGUAUCCUGUCUCCUGCUCUCCCGUGCUUGGAAAGUCUGCCUUGCCUUCCGGCACCAGUGGGCUCCUGUACAGACCUAGAACUAGUCUACCAGUCAGCCUGGUCUCUGGACUCCCCAGAUAAUACUGACGGAGUCCACUGAUGUCCUGGGAUGAGCUGUAAUGGCUGCGCCACUGCAGAUGACUUGCUUUUGCUCGCUGAUCCACCACAGGGCACCUGAUCAAAAUUAAAAGAUGUGGAUUAUGAAUUUGGUGUCCGUAACUCGCUGAUGGGGGCGGGGGAGAAGAGACCCUUCACAGCCGCAGAAGUAGCUAGGAGAGAGCUGCCCAGCCUGGUACAAACUGGGUCAUUUAAUCCAGCGCCCAGGGCCAAAUCCAUCUUGAUCUGAUUUCUACAGGCCCAGUCUACAUACCAAAAACCCCCAUCCCCAAGCCCCAGCUUUUCUUGACCUACAGGAAUGAACCAUGAAUGGGGUGCAGAGCCUGCCCCCUUCCCAUCCCCAAUCUAACGCAGCAGGGAAGGCUGCGGAUCAUUUUGGGUGAAUAGAGCUCCAUCUUGAGCCUGCAAGUGAAGGCCCCAUCCCAUUUGCAGCAGCAUCUCAUCAUGGCAGGAGGAAGUGGAUCAAUGAGAGGACCUAGAAGGAGCAAAACCCAAAUGAUCUCCAUGAUUAGCACAACUGGCAGGAGAGUUCCCAGUAGGACAAGGGAAAAGCUGAACUGACCGGGGCCCUGAUUCAGAAAGGGAUGCCAGCACCUAACUAACUCUAAACAGCAGUUGCUGAGGCCACAGCGUGUGUGUGGAAAGAGCCAGGACACUUCACAACUGUGUGCUAUUUAAACAGAAAACAUGCAAGAUUUUGUUGCCGGGGCGGGGGGGAGGAGGAUCAAAUGAAAGGCAUAGUGCGCUUUUGCUUUGACUCUGCCUCCAACCCAAAGCGAACAAAGGCAACAUUAUACCUUGUGCUGGAAAAGGAGCGACUUGGAUGCACAUGCAGAGCAGUUCCUGCAUGCUGUGCUCCUUAUAAAUAUCCCCAUUGGUAAAGGCUGAAGUCAAGCUGACCGCAGAAUGA